rfam:Mus musculus chromosome 12, GRC primary reference assembly.
CUGGCCGCCAGGGCCUUGUACAUGGUAGGCUUUCAUUCAUUUUUUGCACAUUCGGUGAAGGUCCUACUGUGUGCCAGGCCCUGUGCCAG